rnacentral:rRNA from 1 species
GAUGAACGCUGGCGGCGUGCCUAAUACAUGCAAGUCGAGCGAACAGAUGAGAAGCUUGCUUCUCUGAUGUUAGCGGCGGACGGGUGAGUAACACGUGGGUAACCUACCUAUAAGACUGGGAUAACUCCGGGAAACCGGGGCUAAUACCGGAUAAUAUUUUGAACCGCAUGGUUCAAUAGUGAAAGACGGUUUCGGCUGUCACUUAUAGAUGGACCCGCGCCGUAUUAGCUAGUUGGUAAGGUAAUGGCUUACCAAGGCGACGAUACGUAGCCGACCUGAGAGGGUGAUCGGCCACACUGGAACUGAGACACGGUCCAGACUCCUACGGGAGGCAGCAGUAGGGAAUCUUCCGCAAUGGGCGAAAGCCUGACGGAGCAACGCCGCGUGAGUGAUGAAGGUCUUCGGAUCGUAAAACUCUGUUGUUAGGGAAGAACAAAUUUGUUAGUAACUGAACAAGUCUUGACGGUACCUAACCAGAAAGCCACGGCUAACUACGUGCCAGCCGCCGCCGUAACAC